UUUGAUUUUCAAAUUGAAUUUAUUAAAGGAGAAAAUAAUUCCCUUCCCGAUUUUCUAACAAGAGAAUUCUUACAGGGCCAAAAUGAGACCCUCCACACUGGGGAAAAUCCCAGUAGGAAGCAAGCACGAACAGACAAGAAUGGCUAGACCAUUCGAUCCUCCAUCAGCCUCAGCCUUAACAAACCCUUUAAGGCCAUCAGU
rnacentral:lncRNA from 1 species